CAAAUAGUUCCAUAACAAUUAAGGCCGCGGCCAGUCAAAUGUCAGGAGCUCCUGUGGAUGAAAUAAGGGAGUGAUUGUAGCACAUAGUCUGAGGCACCUUCCCUCCUAAAAGUGCUCCUGUUAUUGCAAUGGAAGUGGGAAAAAACUAAAUGGAAGUUAGCUAGGAAUUGAGGCUAGCUGCGGCUGGACCAGAGUUCCAGAAGAGUUUGCAUAAGUCAUGUUGAAGUCUUUGCACUUCUGGACUCCAGUUAUAGUUCAGGGAAAGGGUGCUCUUAGUCCGUUGGCCUGCAGGGGAAGGUGAGCAGGGGUAGUGACAAUAGUCUUUUGAUGACAAUGUGGGGAAUAGAACAUGUGACAAGCAUGAUAGUGUUGUUUCUGGUAUGGCCAAGUGACUGGGUAUUCUGUUACAGAAAGCAACCCGAAACGUAGCUGACUAGUAGGCUCACUAUUGUGGUGUGUGUAGAUUUAAGUGAAAUAAAAGGUAAAAAAAACAUGGGUAAAUGAC